GGCCCUUUUACCACAGAGGAAGCUGAAGUCUAGGCUGGAGAUUUCAGUCAGCAAACGACCAGACUUGGGGAAGGAACCUGCUCUACCUUCUCUCUGACAUCUCUGGAACAACCUGAAGACAAGAGAAGCACCAGGAGAAGAAAGCCACCUCUGAAAGUUACCCUUCAGGAUCAGCGUUCCUGACUGCAGCUGUGCCAUGGACGUAGCAGAGUCUACCCCCAAUGAGCCCCUGCUCACAGGCAAAAGUGGGCAAGAUCUCCAGGAGAUGCUGAGAGAAGUAGGAUUGGAAGUUGGGCAGGAACACCUGGGUGUGACCUCUGCCCAGGCCUUAAAAUACCUAGAAAAAAAGACCUCCAGAAGCUGAAAUCCCAGGCACAACAUCCCUGGGAGAAACGAGCCCUGAAGAACCUGCUUAACCUGUCACACUCAAAUACUCUUUCAAAGCUACAGGAGUCUCCAGUGGAAACAAUGAAGAAAAGGCAGAAGCAGGCAGGACAGUCACUGCAGGAACUAAGAAAGAUGCUGUCAGAAGGGAGGCAGUGACAGGAAGAGGCAGUGAGAGAAAAGGAAGCAGAGCUGAGGCAGGCAAUGGAGAUCCCCAAAGAGUUCUGGCCACCUCCCAAAAAGUCCCUAAGAGAAGUCUUGGAAAACAUGCAGAGACAGCUCAACCUCAUGGAGGGGACACUGUCUCACAAGACAAACCUCCCAGAUAGAGAGCUACUGAGACAUGCAUCUGGAGGACUAGCCCUACAGGGAAUUUAUAAAACCAGUAACUGUAGCGGUCUGAUAGAGAAGAAAGAGGAGCUACUCAGUGUCCCCAAGGAGUUCUCACUCUGUGGCCCUGAGCAGGGUACACGAAUGGAAACAAAGCAAUUUACAUCUUCUCAAGAAGAAUCCAUAUUCACCCAGACAGUAGAGAAGCUGGGCUUCAGUGUAUCUGCCUCAGCAAUGGGUAGAGGUUGGGGAGUUAGCCUGGAAGCUGCUAUGAAUCAGAGCAAGCAUUCAGAAUCCAAGGAAACCCAAGAGUCAUGUUCUAAGCACACUUACUUCUGUUCAACCAAGUUCAGCUACAUCCCACUGGCCUCCUGCCACUUUCCCAUUGACCAGCUCCAGCUCUCCAAGGCUGCUGUCCAGGAAUUGAAAUGCAUUGAAGACCUUUUGGGUCAGCCAGAAGACCCAGACAAAUGUCCCUUGCUGAGGCAUAGGGCUGAAGCCUUCUUCAACAGGUUUGGCUCUCAUGCUAACCAGGGUCCUCUGCACCUGGGAGGAAUCUACUGGUGGAAAGCUAUUUCAGAGGGUUUCCAAAGUGAGCAACUUGCAGAAGUGAAACAGCAGUCAGCAGAGGCCCUGGAUAUUUACAUAAGGGGCAGCUACAGUGGCUUUGGAGUGCAAGUUGCUGCAGGUGUGGAUGUGUCAGAUGCUCAUUCAGAAACAGCCUCUCCAAACACAAACUUCCAAAAUCUUCAAACCAAAGUCCAAUUAUCCGUGGCCCAGACAGGUGGCCCACCAGAAGCAAAUGGCCUUCUAGAGUGGAAAGCUGGCCUAGUUGCCAAUAAUCAAACCUGGUGUGUCAUUGACCGCGGAGUUCAGCUGGUGCCUAUUUGGGACAUCAUACUCUCCAACCACAAAAGCAAUUUUAAGGAUCCUUUUCAGGUAGCUAACUGCCUAAAAGAGAGCUAUAUUGCACUGACUGGACUCACUGCCCAGAUCCAGGAGGGUGAAGAAUUACUGACUGUUGAGAAGGAGGCUAGGAUUUUCCUAGAGGAUGUGAAAUCCUGGGAGGUAUCUGAUCCUGAAGAGCAGCUUCAAAAGCUGAGAAAUUUCAUGCAAAGAUUGAGUCAAAAAACUGAAAGUUAUAACACUUGGAUUAAUAUAUGCCUCAAAGAUUGGGGUCUGCAGAAUUUUCUGGUAAACACUGUCAACUUUUGCAAAAAGUCUUCCAUUUAUGAAACUAAAUUUAUUAAAUCUCAGUUGUGCUUCCUUUUGGAUCCUCACAUCUACGAAGUAACAAACUUUCCUCAAGCUCAUUCCAUUAAGCAGUGGAUAUUUCAGUCAGAACAACAGGAAGGAGAUGUAAAUAUCACCCAGUUUUCUGAAUUAAUUAAAAUCUUUAAAAAAGCCAAGAAUGACCUUAUAGAAGAGACGGGCAUAUCUGCGUCCCCAGAGUCUGUGGAAGAAACUCAAAGUAAGGCCACUAAUGAGGUCAGCUUCUCUCUUGGCUGCUUCCUGAAAUACCUCCAAGAAACAGGGCAGCCCGACACAUAUGUCUUGCUACUUUCCAUUGCAGCUGGUGCAGGAUAUCAUGUGGUAAAGCAUACAUUUCAAUACCUCCUGGGGUGUGAUGAGUUAGAUUUCCUUCUGGAUAAAAUGCAAACUGCCCAAGAUAAAUACCAAGAGCUCAAAAAUAUUUGUGACUACAGGGCUCAGGCGUUCCUGGUGCUCACAGGUCUGACAGCUACAGUUGGCAUCAAAGCUGUUUCUCCAGAAGAGAAAACAGAACACUUGGCAUUAAUAAGACACCACAUGGGACAAUCUUUAUCUAAAGAAGUUGUACAUAUCCUCACCAAAGUGGGAGCAGAUCAUGAUUGGGAAAACCUAGAAAAAGACUUGAGAUUGCUCAUUGAUGGGGAUUAUGAGGCCACCAUCUCUUCAUUGCAAAUGGAGGAGGUGAGAAAACAAUUGAAAAGUCUUUUCCAUGGAAAGAAAGAACCCCAUGAACCACAUAAAAAUGAAGAUAACAAAUGGGAGGUGACAGAAAAUGGAGCCUUCCUAGAAUUACUCCAGCGUCUAGGCCUGGAACAUUACUACCCAAAGAAGAUGAGCAGAGCUAACUUCCAUCUAAUCUACAAGACGUCUGUGUACAACACCCAGUCCUGCUCUGAAAGAGAGCUUCCCUUCUAUUUCCUGCAGAAGCUACUAAUGCUGGAUUAUGGGCUGAGAUACCUGAUCAUCAAAGAUAAUGAAAACACAGAGAAGCAAGUCUAUCCAAGCUCCUCAAAUCAAGAAAAAGAGGCUUUUGAUCCAUAUGAAGAUCUAUUUGAAGACAGUAAUAGCCCCACUAGUCCUUCAGCAGCCACUAAUGCCAGGCCCUACAUUCACCCUAUGGAUAUUCAGAUGGCAAUUCUUCACUGUGCAGAUGAUUUUGCCAGGCAAUAUAUUUGGCCAAACUUGCCAUUUGUCAGUUUGCCCUCCCCCUUCUCAUACCUAAUCCUUGCAAUGCUCAGAUUGAAUUCUCUCUCUGGUCUCUCAGGCAAAUUAGAAGGAGCUGGCAGCAAGCUGGAAAAUCAGCAAAAGAGGAGAAGGACAAUUACAAGAAUCAGCAGAUGUGUCGUGUCUCUACACCCAUUGUGUCCUUUAUCAGAGUUGGAAAUGGCUUCUCUGCCUCCAAAUCUCAGAUCAUGAACUCUCUUCUCAGUAACCGGAAACACAAUGUCUUUUUUCACCGACAUUGCAAAGGGAGCAGCAGAGACUGUCUCUUGAUGGGAGGAGUGGUGGAAGUUGCCUGGUUCUGUCCUGUGGGGGAAGAUGAGGACAGAUUUGAUAAGUGUCUGACCUUCACCAAUCUUCAUGGAGAUGCAAGGGAACAUGAGAAGCAACUCGUCUUUUUGCAAGAGGUCUCUUCUCUCAUUGUGGUCCUCAUGUCAACUUCUGAUGACAAUAAAGAAAACCGCAAAAUUGUCCAUGACCUGUGUCAGUCAUCCGAACCUUUGAUCUGUUUGCUUGAUGAUAAAGAAAAAACCAUGACCAGGAAUUCUGGCCCAAGAGUGAGAAUUGGGAUCAGGAGCAGAAAUGAGGCAGAAUUAGUAGAGGAGCUCACAACUGUAAUCAGACGUUUGCUACAGCUCUCUGACGCUGCACUCAGCUUGGAGAACUGUGCCCAAGUAGCUCGCAGGCAAGGAUUGUUUAUUGAUGAAGACCAGAGAGAUUGCAAGGAAGCCAAAGAAAAGGCAGAGAUUCUAAUGGUCCUACUGCGAGAAAUGAAAAUAUCUCAGAUAAAGGAAAAAUUACUACCCCUUCAGGGAAAACUGUGGCAACAUUGGUGUAAAAAGGACAAAGAACUCUAUCAUCUGAGAGAAAAAGGGAAUCGGAGCAUUGAGCAAUACAAGAGUGAGACUGAGACAGAGAAACUAAUAAUACGAUGUCAACAGUUGAGAAAAGCCUUUCCUCUCAAUGAUUUAAUGCGUUCUGUCCUUGAAAUUCUCCAAAAUCCCUCAGAAACUCACACCAAACUCUACUUCUUGCAAUGGCUGAGUGCGUUUUUAGAUGACCUGACUGCAGGACACUUGGAAAAACUAAAUGAGGAGAAAAAGGCAUUGUGGGCACUGGCCCACAAAGAAAAGCAAGAGGCACCAAAGAGCAGCUCCCUGAAAGGCUGGCAAAAUGAGAUAGAAGCUGUCUCCAGAGAGAUUAGCGACUGUACCUUGGGAAUUGAGCAACUUCUCAGAGAAGUUGGCCAGAUCUGUGAAGCUCUGGAAGAAGCUUCCUCCAUGCAAGAUAACCUAUAUCUCUCCCUUCCCCACAUUGCUGCAGAGCUGAUGCUAUCUGGAGUUCCCAUUGAGCUGAUGGAUGGGGAUGCUUCAUAUGUGCCCCUGAGGUGGGUGGCAGCUGUUUUUGACAAGGUUGCUGAGAAACUUGGAAACAAACGGCUCUUUGUUCUCUCUGUCCUUGGCCUGCAGAGCUCAGGGAAGUCCACCCUGCUGAAUGCCCUUUUUGGGCUGCAGUUCACUGUCAGUGCUGGGAGGUGUACCCGGGGGGCCUACAUGCAGCUUCUGAAAGUGGACGAGACAUUCACAGAGGAACUUGGCUUUGACUUUGUGCUUGUUGUGGACACAGAAGGACUACGGGCCCCAGAACUCAGCAACAAGUCCCAGAUUCAUGACAAUGAGUUGGCAACCUUUGUCAUCAGACUUGGAAACUUGACUCUGAUCAAUAUUUUUGGGGAAAAUCCAUCAGAAAUGCAAGAUAUUCUACAAAUCGUUGUCCAAGCUUUUCUGAGGAUGAAGCAAGUAAAAAUUUCUCCUAGUUGCCUCUUUGUCCAUCAGAAUGUGGGGGAAGUUACAGUGAAAGACCAAACCAUGGAAGGAAGACGGCGGCUAGAGCAGAGACUGGAUGAAAUGGCAGCAACAGCAGCUGAAGAAGAGCAGUGCUCAGAUAUAACCCGCUUUAGUGAUGUCAUUAACUUUGAUGUCAAUACCCACGUCUACUACUUUGCGCAGCUCUGGGAUGGCAAUCCUCCAAUGGCCCCUCCCAAUCCUCGCUACAGCCACAAUGUCCAGGAACUGAAAAGCAGAAUUCUUGUCACUGCCCAACAGGAAUCUAGGGGAAGCAUCAUGAAGAUAUCAGAUGUAAAAUUCCGAGUUCAAGAUGUGUGGAGAGCCCUACUGAAUGAAAACUUUAUUUUCAGUUUCAGGAACACCCGCGAGGUCAUGGCCAUGAGCAAGCUGGAAACCAUGUAUAACUACUGGACAUGGGAGCUGAGGAGUCAUGUGCUGAGCUUACAGGACCAGCUGAUGAACCAGAUUCAGAAUGGAAAAAUCCAGAUACUCAAAACAAACACACUUGAGGCUCCAGUUACAGAGAAAUAUGAAGCCAUCAAGCAAGAACUUGAAAAAUAUUUUAAUGAAGACCCAGAUAGUGACGUGCUGGUACAGUGGAAAGGAAAUUUUGAAAAUAAGCUAAGAAUCCUGAAGGACGCACUAAUUUUAGAUAGUCAAAGAAAAGCCAAAGAACUUAUUCAUUUAAAAAAAAAUCAAGAAAAACUGGAUAACAAAAAGUCAGGCUAUGAAAAGGAAUUAUUGGAAAAAAGCCGGAAAUUGGCUUUAACUCUAAAGGGCACCAAGUUGAGUGAGGAAGAGCUACGGGAAAAAUUCAACCCACUUUGGAAAAAAUGGGUCUAUGAUGUGGCCUCAAAUCACCCUCCACUCCCAGAGCCUGCAAUUGAAGGGGACUCUGAAAACACCCUUUUGGAGUACUUCAAAAAGGAGAAAGACAUGGCAAGCAUACUGGAGAAAAAUUCUGGAGAAAACUUUGAAAUUAACUACGAUGAACAUAUCAAGAUGAACAAGAAAUGGAAAUGGAUAACUAUGGCAUUAGAGGCCCAGGAUAAAGUGUCCAUAAAUAUGACUACUGACCACGUUAUUUCAAAAUUUAAUGAAACUAUUAACGAUAUUUGCAGGCAAAAACAUGAUUACAAUCCAAGUUAUUUCCAUAAAAUCCUGACAAUAAUAGAUGAGGAAGUGAAAUCUGCACCCACUCAGCAAAGAUACACAUUUACAAGAAAAUAUGAAAUAGACUUAUCAUUGUGUUUAUUCCGAAGAGCAUCAGUGAAGUUUAAGGAGAUGCACAAGGCCUUCAAGAGAGCCAAUGAUCCUGUAAACUAUCUGGAAGGCAAGAAAGAUGACUUCUUCAUGAGUUUUAAGAUCGCUUGUCAAGGAGCAACCUCAAUUAAAACAUUUGUUGAUUUUCUGUGGCACAAACUCACCCCUGCCAUCUCCAACACUGUAAGGAAAAACAUGACCCGCAAAAUUGCUGGGGACAUGAGAGCCACCUGCCUAGCAUUCAGUGGAAACAGGGCUAACCUGGAGAAACACAUCCUCAUCUCUCUGGCAGAAGAGGAAAAUUUUGAUAAUUACUGGCAGUACCUUCAUAAUCCAGAACUGUUUUUUAAGAAUUACAUUGCAAAUCAUAUUAUAAGAUAUUGUUCUGAUGAAAGAAAUAAGAAAAUGAAGAAUUUUUUAAAAAUAGAUUUAGAUGACAUCAAGAAUGCCAUCCUCUCAGCUAUUCAUGCAUCCACAGAAAUAGCUAAAGAUAAAAGCAGCACUGUGUCUGAGUGGUUAGAUUUGUUCUGUGAUCACCUGGGGAAUAACUUGAUCUUUCCACGAAAAGACUUGAUAAGCAUUGAACAUCAGGAGAUACGAGAUAUUGAGUUUCUCAAAGAAGCCAUGAGUAAAGCGUUGGAUGCUGAAAUGGAGAGAGUAGAACUGAACUGUUUGUGUAUGCUUGUAGAAGAAAUGGUUCCUGAAAUCCAGAAAAUGCUCUCUGAACAUCUCUGUGGCUGCUGGAAACAGUGUCCCUUCUGUAGAGCAAUUUGUACAAACACAAUCCCUACCCAUGAUGGAGACCACAGUGUUCCCUUCCACCGUCCACAGGCUGUCAAUGGAAUAUGGUGGUACAAAACAGACCACUUUGUCAUUGAUUGCUGUACUAGUUUGGUAGCAAGUGAUUGUCUUUUGGUUUUGAGAGAUGACUGGAAAAUCCCAUAUAAGAACUAUCGACAGGCAGGAGGGAAAUAUGCCAUGUGGAGUAUCACCCCAGACACAUCCACCCAGCCAUACUGGAAAUGGUUUGUGUGUCACUUCAGAUCAAAGCUGGAAGAAAAAUAUCACCAAAGAUUUAUAGGCAAAGGUGAGAUUCCUCAUGCGUGGUACAAAAUCAGAAAACAGGAUGUGCUUGAUGACUUGAAAAAAAAUUAAUACUCAAACACCAGAAAAGAGCCCCAGUAUCUGAAUGAAGAAGACACAUUACCUGAACAAGCCUAAAAUAUCACCCACUCAAAAUAGAAACCUUCUUUAUAUUGAUUUAUUCAAGUGAAACAUCUAAAACUAAAUCAAUGAACAGUAAGAGUUGAAGAUUUCUUGAAAAAGAACUUCAUUUUUCUUUGCCUUAAUUCCUUCUCCUU